rnacentral:rRNA from 1 species
GAUAGCGGAGAAAUUCCAAUCGAACUCGGAGAUAGCUGGUUCUCCUCGAAAUAGUUUUAGGACUAGCCUUGUUUCGUAGCAUUUGGGGGUAGAGCACUGAAUGAGGUAGGGGCCAACACGGUUACUGAACUCUAUCAAACUACGAAUACCAAAUGUGUAAGAACAAGAGUCAGACUGCGGGAGCUAAGUUCCGUGGUCAAAAGGGAAAGAGCCCAGAUCGUCAAUUAAGGUCCCAAAGAUAUAGUUAAGUGGAAAACGAUGUGAUUUUGCGUAAACAACCAGGAUGUUGGCUUAGAAGCAGCCAUUCAUUCAAAGAGUGCGUAAUAGCUCACUGGUCGAGUGAAGUUGCGCGGAAAAUUACCGGGGCUAAACUAUACACCGAAAUUGCGGAUUUGCAUAGAAAUAUGUAAGUGGUAGAGGAGCAUUCUAUAGUAGGACGAAGCAUAAUCGAAAGGAUAUGUGGACGAGAUAGAAGAGAGAAUGCCGGAAUAAGUAGCGAAAGCAUGGUGAGAAUCCAUGCCAUCGAAAGUCUAAGGUUUCCUGGGGAAGGUUCGUCCGCCCAGGGUAAGUCGGGACCUAAGGAGAGGCCGAAAAGCGUAUCCGAUGGACAGCAGGUAGAAAUUCCUGCACUACGUAAUACUUAAAAGACAUAAAUGACACAGGAGUGGAAGAUAAGCGAGGAAGAGGAAAGACUCGUAUCGAAAGAUAUAGUGAAAAUUAAAGUAACGAAUUAUCAAGAAGCUAAUGGCGAGAAAAGUUUAUGGAUAUUGUAUUAAGUACCCGUACCGCAAACCGACACAGGUAGAUGAGGAGAAGAUCCUAAGAUGAGCGAGAGAAGCAUUGUUAAGGAACUCGGCAAACUGACCCCGUAACUUCGGAAUAAGGGGUGCUGGAGUAGAAUCCAGUCGCAGAGAAUAGUCCCAAGCAACUGUUUAACAAAAACACAGGUUUCUGCUAAAUCGAAAGAUGAAGUAUAGGAGCUGACGCCUGCCCAGUGCUGGAAGGUUAAGGGGAAGGGUUAGUCGUAAGAAGAAGCUUUGAACCAAAGCCCCAGUGAACGGCGGCCGUAACUAUAACGGUCCUAAGGUAGCGAAAUUCCUUGUCAGGUAAGUUCUGACCCGCACGAAAGGCGUAAUGAUUUGGACACUGUCUCGACAAUGUACUCGGCGAAAUUGUAGUACUAGUGAAGAUGCUAGUUACCUGCGACAAGACAGAAAGACCCCAUGGAGCUUUACUGCAGCUUGAUACUGGGUUUCGGUAAUUUAUGUACAGGAUAGGUGGGAUGCUAAGAAGUAUGUGCGCCAGCGCAUAUGGAGCAGACGUUGGGAUACCACCCUUAAAUUACUGGAAUUCUAACUAGAAGUCCUAAACGGGCUUGAGGACAAUGUCAGGCGGGCAGUUUGACUGGGGCGGUCGCCUCCUAAAGAGUAACGGAGGCGCGCAAAGGUUUCCUCAGCGCGGACAGAAAUCGCGCGAAAGAGUGCAAAGGCAGAAGGAAGCUUAACUGAGAGACAGACAUGUCGAUCAGAUACGAAAGUAGGUCUUAGUGAUCCGGUGGUUGUAAGUGGAAAUGCCAUCGCUCAACGGACAAAAGUUACCCUGGGGAUAACAGGCUUAUCUCCCCCAAGAGUUCACAUCGACGGGGAGGUUUGGCACCUCGAUGUCGGCUCAUCACAUCCUGGAGCGGAAGUACGUUCCAAGGGUUGGGCUGUUCGCCCAUUAAAGUGGUACGCGAGCUGGGUUCAGAACGUCGUGAGACAGUUCGGUCCUUAUCUGUCGCAGGCGAAGGAAAUUUGAAGGGAGUUGUCCUUAGUACGAGAGGACCAGGAUGGACAUACCGAUGGUGCAUCAGUUGUCACACCAGUGGCACAGCUGGGUAGCUAAGUAUGGAAGGGAUAAACGCUGAAAGCAUCUAAGUGUGAAGCCCACCCUAAGAUAAGAUAUCCCAUAUCGAAAGAUAGU